ensembl:rRNA 5S_rRNA 5S ribosomal RNA
GUCUAUGGCCAUACCACCCUGAAUGCGCCCAAUCUUGUCUGUUCUCAGAAGCUAGACAGGGUCGGGCCUGGUUAGUACUUGGAUGGGAGUUGACUGAAGGAAGGAGAGGGCUGGGAACACUCAAAAGCUUUGGUUU